CACGUAGGCACCAAGCGUUGUCCGGAUUUAUUGGGCGUAAAGAGCUCGUAGGCGGUUUGUCGCGUCUGCUGUGAAAACCUAAGGCUCAACCUUGGGCUUGCAGUGGGUACGGGCAGACUAGAGUGCGGUAGGGGUGACUGGAAUUCCUGGUGUAGCGGUGAAAUGCGCAGAUAUCAGGAGGAACACCGAGUGGCGAAGGCAGGUC
rnacentral:rRNA from 1 species